CCGCCGGCCGGACCGGCCGGCACGGUGGAGGUAACACGUAUGCAACCUGGCCGUGACAGAUGGAUAACCGGGAGAAAUCCCGCCUAAUACAACAUAAUGCCGGGAGGGGACAUCCCCUGCCGGCCAAAGGGGCGACCCCGGUCACGGAUGGGCAUGCGGCGCAUUAGGUAGUUGGUGGGGCAACGGCCCACCAAGCCGACGAUGCGUAGGGGUUCUGAGAGGAAGGUCCCCCACAUUGGAACUGAGACACGGUCCAAACUCCUACGGAAGGCAGCAG
rnacentral:rRNA from 1 species